rnacentral:rRNA from 1 species
CCCUUAGAUGUCCUGGGCUGCACGCGCGCUACACUGAUGUGUCCAGUAAGCACCUAACCUAUUCCGAGAGGAGCGGGUAACCUUAGCAAAGCACAUCGUGAUGGGGAUAGAUUAUUGCAAUUAUUAGUCUUGAACGAGGAAUUCCUAGUAAGCACAAGUCAUCAGCUUGUGUUGAUUACGUCCCUGCCCUUUGUACACACCGCCCGUCGCUCCUACCGAUUGAAUGGUCCGGUGAACUGGUCGGACUGAUAAUUGUCACUGCGGGUGCAGUAGCAUUACGGAAAGUCCGGUGAACCUUAUCAUCUAGAGGAAGGAGAAGUCGUAACA